AUCCAUCCCUGUCACUCUCGCGGCCCUAGCUCUUUUGGUUCUUGAGAUAUUUUAGCGUUUUUUUAUCGUAAAGAUCAGAUGAGUACAUUGAACUUGCAUUAUUAUAUUUUAUAUGCCAAAUUUGGGGAUGUACAACAAAAAUUUCAUAUAAAAAUAGCGUUUUAAAUUUAAGCAUUUAUUUUUUUGUCGUACGUUGAUAAACAACAUAAUAAUAUUAAAUUUCUUAAAUUUUAUUGUGGCGUACGUGCAUAGAAAUAGUAUUGUAUACCUUAUAAUAAUAACAAUGUACGUGUUUAAAAUUGUUUUGUGCUAUGGCAUCAACACAUGACAGUGAUCUAAGUUCAAUUUAACUUCAGUUUCGCAUUCUUUUAUCCAGAAUCCGUGAGGGAAUUUUGAAUGAAGAAAGAUCUAAUGAUGAGAUUGAUUUGAACGAUAUACAAAAGAAUCCAGAUUUCAGCGUUGAAGAAGAACUCGAAAAUUGUAAAAAAUUUUAUGAAAGUUUUUUAGUUACAGAAAUUCCUCACCAUGCGACUAACGAAGUUUUAGAAAAAAGUGAGUGCUGUUGCAAAAAAGGAAAAAUUACUAACUGGUAGAAACAAAACUUGUUGGGAAAAUCACAACAUCGCAUGGAGAGGAAUUACUAUUAUGGGAGAUGUUAGCUGAAACACGAUAAAAAUUAAAUCUUUUCAAAUGAAAAAUAUAAUAUAUUUAAAUUAACCAAUUUUCAAAAUAUGUGUAUUUAAAAACAAAGAAGGCAUUAUUGGAAUACCAAAAUUUGUUGAAACUGAGGGUAUCUUCUACGGCGCAUCGGACAUUUGUAUCAUCUUCUGAAAUAUCAACAAAAAAAUUUGACGAUGAGUUACGAGUAUGUUCAGAAUUUAUUUGAUGUUGUGUCUGCGACGUUGUUUAUACUGAAAUAUUUUUCAAAUUGUGUAUCCAAAAUUUUUUCAAUACAUACGUUGCAUAUGUUUCUCAGUUAAAAGUAGAAAUUUUUAAAUCAAAAACAAUCGAAGCAAAAAAUUAAAAAAAAAGAAAACCUUUAA